UGCGUAGGCGGCUUAAUAAGUCGAGCGUGAAAAUGCGGGGCUCAACCCCGUAUGGCGCUGGAAACUGUUAGGCUUGAGUGCAGGAGAGGAAAGGGGAAUUCCCAGUGUAGCGGUGAAAUGCGUAGAUAUUGGGAGGAACACCAGUGGCGAAGGCGCCUUUCUGGACUGUGUCUGACGCUGAGAUGCGAAAGCCAGGGUAGCGAACG
rnacentral:rRNA from 1 species